CGCCUUAUACAUGCAAGUCGAACGCAGUAGCAAUACUGAGUGGCAAACGGGUGAGUAUAAUGUGGGUAUCUGCCUUUUGGUUUGGAAUAACAUGAGGAAACUUGUGCUAAUACCGGAUAAGCCUUCACAGGGAAAGUUUUAUACGCCGAAAGAUGAGCCCGCACUUGAUUAGUUUGUUGGUGAGGUAAUGGCUCACCAAGACAAUUAUCAAUAGCUGGUCUGAGAGGACGAUCAGCCACAUUGGGACUGAGACACGGCCCAGACUCCUACGGGAGGCAGCAGUAAGGAAUCUUGCACAAUGGGGGAAACCCUGAUGCAGCGAUGCCGCGUGAGUGAAGAAGGCCCUUGGGUUGUAAAACUCUUUCGUCGGGGAAGAAAAUGACUGUACCCGAAUAAGAAGGUCCGGCUAACUUCGUGCCAGCAGCCGCGGUAAUACGAAGGGACCUAGCGUAGUUCGGAAUUACUGGGCUUAAAGAGCUCGUAGGUGGUUAAAAAAGUUGAUGGUGAAAUCCCAAGGCUCAACCUUGGAACUGCCAUCAAAACUUUUUAGCUUGAGUGUGAUAGAGGAAAGUGGAAUUUCUAGUGUAGAGGUGAAAUUCGUAGAUAUUAGAAAGAACACCAAAUGCGAAGGCAACUUUCUGGGUCACUACUGACACUGAGGAGCGAAAGCAUGGGUAGCGAAGAGGAUUAGAUACCCUCGUAGUCCAUGCCGUAAACGAUGUGUGCUAGACGUUGGAAAUAUAUUUUUCAGUGUCGCAGCGAAAGCAUUAAGCACACCGCCUGGGGAG
rnacentral:rRNA from 1 species